rnacentral:rRNA from 1 species
CAAAGGUUGAUUCCGGUGGCGGAUGGGCAUGCGUCGCAUUAGUUAGUUGGCGGUGUAACGGACCACCAAGACGACGAUGCGUAGGGGUUCUGAGAGGAAGGUCCCCCACACUGGUACUGAGACACGGACCAGACUCCUACGGGAGGCAGCAGUGAGGAAUAUUGGUCGAUGGGCGGGAGCCUGAACCAGCCAAGUCGCGUGAGGGAUGACGGCCCUAUGGGUUGUAAACCUCUUUUGCCGGGGAGCAAAGUGCCGCACGUGUGCGGUUUGGAGAGUACCCGGAGAAAAAGCAUCGGCUAACUCCGUGCCAGCAGCCGCGGUAAUACGGAGGAUGCGAGCGUUAUCCGGAUUUAUUGGGUUUAAAGGGUGCGUAGGCGGACGCUUAAGUCAGCGGUAAAAUUGCGGGGCUCAACCUCGUCGAGCCGUUGAAACUGGGUGCCUUGAGUGGGCGAGAAGUACGCGGAAUGCGUGGUGUAGCGGUGAAAUGCAUAGAUAUCACGCAGAACUCCGAUUGCGAAGGCAGCGUACCGGCGCCCAACUGACGCUGAAGCACGAAGGCGUGGGUAUCGAACAGGAUUAGAUACCCUGGUAGUCCACGCAGUAAACGAUGAAUGCUAGUUGUCCGGGGCGAUUGAGUUCUGG